AAAUUUUUGUUCCAAUUUAAUUUAAUAUAAAUGAUACAAUUUUUAUGAUUAGAUUUAAAUCAUUUUCUAUUUUAAUCAGUUAUGGUUGAUAUCAUGUAUUCCUUAUCCUCAUUAUCAAUGUUAUUGUAUCAAGUAACUUUAAAAGAAGGGAAUGAAACAUAACCUAGAAAGUAUUACGUGAAUAUGAGAUAGGAAGUAUAUAUAACAAGCUAUAUCUAUGAUGUUCUCCACUUUCUUAUCUCUGCGUAAGACAUGAUAAAAUGAGGUAUUAGAACAUAAAAUGAAUUGUUAAGGAUUCAUGUAUAAUUAGUGGAAAUAAUUAGAUGAAUGUAGAAAUAUCAAAUGUAAUUAGGUAGAUAAUAAAAUGGAGCAAAAUGUGAUAAUAAUAAAUGCUCAAAAUGGAUAAAUAAGAAGAAAAGAAGUAAAACCUUGGUUCAAUGAACAAAAUAUAUACAUAAAUCAAGGUCAACCAUUAUCCCAUCUUAUUAAUUAUCUUAUAACAAAUAUCAAAACAACAUAGGUCUAGAAAAUUUUUUAGGUAAUACAUCUACAAAUAUUCAGUAGUGAAAGGAUACAUAAUUAUAUGGGUUUAGUUCCAAUAUCUGUUUAUCAACAUGAUGCAAUACCUUCAACGAAUAACUCAUUCAGAAGUAGUAAAUAACAAUAUUUAUUGUGCUUAUCAUUUUCUUAUGCAAUGAUUUAUGAACUCCUACUUCUGUUACCAUAUUAGAUCUGCCACUAAACACUGAAUUAUUCAACCUAUUACGUCAAACAGAAUUAGAUGUAGAAGAGUAUGUACUGUCUAAACAGGUGAAACAACCGGAAACUGUAAAAGAAUAUAGAAAAACUUUAAAACGUACAAAACAUUCUGAGCUAUGGAUUCUAUUCUGAGCUAUUCAUAUCAUCAUUUAUUAGCAUUUAGCAUUUAUGUCAUCUGAAAAAUUUGUGCGUUACGUUAUGGAUAAAAAAAGGAAGUCUCCUAGUGGAGUUGUGGAACCAGACCAAAGAGGACAACUUAUAUCAAAAACAAAAAAAAGUGAAAAUGUUAAGGACAGGGUAUGCAAACAUAUCAAAUCGUCUCCAAUAGAAAAAUCAACAGGUCCAAUGGAUUAUACAGGAAAGAAAUAUCUAGAUUCUAUGCUAAGUAUAGCUGCUAUGCAUAAACUUUAUGUACUAAAGUGGAAAGAAGAAGGUAUUCCAGAAAGCGACAUAGUUAAAAAAAGCUAUUAUAGAGAAAUGUUCAAAUCAGAAUUUAAUCUUGGUUUUAAACAAGUGCAGUUUAAAGUGAAUGUUUGACUACCAAAUAUUAAUAACCACUAAAUUAGAGAUUAGUAACAUGCCCUUUUAAUAUUAUUAGUACAAAGAAUAACAUAUUUUAUAUAAAUAUAUUAAAGAA